CCAGACUCCUACGGGAGGCAGCAGUGGGGAAUAUUGGGCAAUGGGCGCAAGCCUGACCCAGCAACGCCGCGUGAAGGAAGAAGGCUUUCGGGUUGUAGACUUCUUUUCUGAGGGACGAUAGUGACGGUACCUCAGGAAUAAGCCACGGCUAACUCCGUGCCAGCAGCCGCGGUAAUACGGAGGAUGCGAGCGUUAUCCGGAUUUAUUGGGUGUAAAGGGCGUGUAGGCGGGAGCGCAAGUCAGAUGUGAAAACUCAGGGCUCAACCCUGAGCCUGCAUUUGAAACUGUGUUUCUUGAGUGCUGGAGAGGCAAUCGGAAUUCCGUGUGUAGCGGUGAAAUGCGUAGAUAUACGGAGGAACACCAGUGGCGAAGGCGGAUUGCUGGACAGUAACUGACGCUGAGGCGCGAAAGCGUGGGUAGCGAACGGGAUUAGAUACCCCGGUAUA
rnacentral:rRNA from 1 species